AGUGAACGCUGGCGGUAGGCCUAACACAUGCAAGUCGAACGGCAGCACAGUAAGAGCUUGCUCUUACGGGUGGCGAGUGGCGGACGGGUGAGGAAUACAUCGGAAUCUACUUUUUCGUGGGGGAUAACGUAGGGAAACUUACGCUAAUACCGCAUACGACCUACGGGUGAAAGCAGGGGAUCUUCGGACCUUGCGCGAUUGAAUGAGCCGAUGUCGGAUUAGCUAGUUGGCGGGGUAAAGGCCCACCAAGGCGACGAUCCGUAGCUGGUCUGAGAGGAUGAUCAGCCACACUGGAACUGAGACACGGUCCAGACUCCUACGGGAGGCAGCAGUGGGGAAUAUUGGACAAUGGGCGCAAGCCUGAUCCAGCCAUACCGCGUGGGUGAAGAGGGCCUUCGGGUUGUAAAGCCCUUUUGUUGGGAAAGAAAAGCAGCAGGUUAAUACCCCGCUGUUCUGACGGUACCCAAAGAAUAAGCACCGGCUAACUUCGU
rnacentral:rRNA from 1 species